rnacentral:rRNA from 1 species
UACGGGGGGAGCAAGCGUUGUUCGGAUUUACUGGGCGUAAAGGGCGCGUAGGCGGUCGUGACAAGUCACUUGUGAAAUCUCCGGGCUUAACUCGGAACGGUCAAGUGAUACUGUCGGACUAGAGUGCAGAAGGGGCAAUCGGAAUUCCUGGUGUAGCGGUGAAAUGCGUAGAUAUCAGGAGGAACACCUGCGGUGUAGACGGCUUACUGGACCAUCACUGACGCUGAGGCACGAAAGCGUGGGUAGCAAACAGG